rnacentral:tRNA from 1 species
GGUUCCGUGGCCGAUUGGGAGGCCUGAUUACGCAAUAAUCAGUAGAUUGGUUCGAAUCCAGUCGGAACCUC